GAUGAAGAACGUAGUGAAAUGCGAUAAGUAAUGUGAAUUGCAGAAUUCAGUGAAUCAUCGAAUCUUUGAACGCACAUUGCGCCCGCCAGUAUUCUUGCGGGCAUGCCUGUCUGAGCGUCAUUUCAACCCUCAAGCAACUUCUGCUUGGUGUUGGGGAUCGGCCGUCAAACGCCGCCCCCGAAAUCUAUUGGCGAUCUCGCUGUAGCUUCCUAUGCGUAGUAGUAACAUCUCGCAUCUGGAGAGCGGCGCGGUCAUGCCGUAAAACACCCAACUUCUCAGGUUGACCUCAGAUCAGGUAGGAAUACCCGCUGAACUUAAGCAUAUCAAUAAGCGGAGGA
rnacentral:misc_RNA from 1 species